CCUACGGGAGGCAGCAGUGAGGAAUAUUGGUCAAUGGGCGUGAGCCUGAACCAGCCAAGUAGCGUGAAGGAUGACUGUCCUAUGGGUUGUAAACCUCUUUUAUAAAGGAAUAAAGUGAGGCACGUGUGCUUUUUUGUAUGUACCUUAUGAAUAAGGAUCGGCUAACUCCGUGCCAGCAGCCGCGGUAAUACGGAGGAUCCGAGCGUUAUCCGGAUUUAUUGGGUUUAAAGGGUGCGUAGGUGGGUUUUUAAGUCAGUUGUGAAAGUUUGCGGCUCAACCGUAAAAUUGCCAUUGAUACUGGCAGUCUUGAGUACAGUUGAGGUAGGCGGAAUGCGUGGUGUAGCGGUGAAAUGCUUAGAUAUCACGAAGAACUCCGAUUGCGAAGGCAGCUUACUAAACUGCCACUGACAUUGAUGCUCGAAAGUGUGGGUAUCAAACAGGAUUAGAUACCCGGGUAGUC
rnacentral:rRNA from 1 species